UAUCAAUAAGCGGAGGAAAAGAAACCAACAGGGAUUGCCCCAGUAACUGCGAGUGAAGCGGCAAAAGCUCAAAUUUGAAAUCUGGCGCCUUUGGCGUCCGAGUUGUAAUUUGGAGAGACAUCUUCGGGGAUGGCAUACUGUCCUAAGUUCCUUGGAACAGGACGUCACAGAGGGUGAGAAUCCCGUGCCUGGAUGGUUGUCCAUCCCCAUUGUGAAGGGUCUUCGACGAGUCGAGUUGUUUGGGAAUGCAGCUCAAAAUGGGUGGUAAACGUCAUCUAAAGCUAAAUAUUGGCGAGAGACCGAUAGCGCACAAGUAGAGUGAUCGAAAGAUGAAAAGCACUUUGAAAAGAGAGUAAAAUAGUACGUGAAAUUGUUGAAAGGGAAGCGCUUGAGACCAGACACGGUCCGUGGUAAUCGCCCGCGCUUCGGUGCAGGUGCUCUUACCAUGACCGGUGCCAGCAUCGGUUCUGGCGGUGGGAUAAAAGGCAGGGGAAUGUAGCUUCCUCACUGGGAGUGUUAGAGCCCCUGUCACAAUGCCACCAGCCGGGACCGAGGACUGCGCUUCAGCUAGGAUGUUGGCGUAAUGGUCUUAAGCGACCCGUCUUGAAACACGGACCAAGGAGUCUAACAUCUAUGCGAGUGUUCGGGUGGAAAACCCUUGCGCGUAAUGAAAGUGAACGGAGGUGGGAACCCCGAAAGGGAGUGCACCAUCGACCGAUCCUGAUGUCUUCAGAAGGAUUUGAGUAAGAGCAUAGCUGUUGGGACCCGAAAGAUGGUGAACUAUGCCUGAAUAGGGUGAAGCCAGAGGAAACUCUGGUGGAGGCUCGCAGCGGUUCUGACGUGCAAAUCGAUCGUCAAAUUUGGGUAUAGGGGCGAAAGACUAAUCGAACCAUCUAGUAGCUGGUUCCUGCCGAA
rnacentral:rRNA from 1 species